AAUCCUGAGAGAGUUCAAGAACGAUCCAGAGAACCACGAAGAGGAUUAGUGACUUAGUGAGUGAGAGAGAGGUGAAAUUCAGGAAAGAUAAAAGAAUUCCUCUCAGCACGACGUUAGUUGCUCUUCAUCCCGAGACUGAUCGGAGAGGCACACAGAGAAAGAAGUGGGAGAGGGAUCUGGGUUUUGACUUAGCCCCAAAUUUCUAAUCGGAGAGGCACACAGACUGAAGCGGUAUUGUUUGUGCUCGAGUUUGGGAUUUGAGUGAUCGAUUCGAAAAGGUUCAAGUUUGGAUUCUGGACGGUUGAUUGAAAAAAUUACAAGACAUAAUAUGACGAAUCUCGGUGUUUGGAUUUUGAUUUGAGGAAGCUGAAAACUUAUCUGGCCAAUUCGGAUUUGAGGUUGUGAUAACUUGAUCACUUGAUCAAUAUAAGAUGUCUCCAGCCAAUUCGGAUUUGGAUUUGAGGUUGCUGAUAACUUGCUUCAUAAAGCCACUAGGAAUCUAGAAAGCAGAGACAAGAAAGAUAUUCAAGGGAGGCUUGACAAAGAACAAGCAGUUCUUUACUUUGCUUAACUCACCGGCAUUGGUUUCACAUACUACUGCUGAAAGUUAAUUUCUGUGUUGAAAGUCUGGUUUUAUUUGGUGUCAGGCUAUC